rnacentral:rRNA from 1 species
CUUAAAUUGAAGAGUUUGAUCAUGGCUCAGAUUGAACGCUGGCGGCAGGCCUAACACAUGCAAGUCGAGCGGUAGCACAGGAGAGCUUGCUCUCUGGGUGACGAGCGGCGGACGGGUGAAUAAUGUCUGGGAAACUGCCUGAUGGAGGGGGAUAACUACUGGAAACGGUAGCUAAUACCGCAUAACCUCGCAAGAGCAAAGAGGGGGACCUUCGGGCCUCUCGCCAU